UACAGAGGUGGCAAGCGUUGUUCGGAUUCAUUGGGCGUAAAGGGUCCGUAGGCGGCUCGGAAAGUUGGAGGUGAAAUCCCAUGGCUUAACCAUGGACUGCCUUCAAAACUCCCGAGCUAGAGGAUGAGAGGGGUAGAGGGAAUUCCCGGUGUAAGGGUGAAAUCUGCAGAGAUCGGGAAGAACACCAGUCGCGAAGGCGCUCUACUGGCUCAUUUCUGACGCUGAGGGACGAAAGCUAGGGGAGCAAACGGGAGUUAGAAACCCCGG
rnacentral:rRNA from 1 species